GGGGCAUUAGCUCAGCUGAUAGAGCGCGGCAUUCGCAUUGCCGAGGUCGGGGGUUUGAACCCCCCAUGCUCCACCA
rnacentral:tRNA from 1 species